UACGGGGGGGGCAAGCGUUGUUCGGAAUUACUGGGCGUAAAGGGCUCGUAGGCGGCCAACUAAGUCAGACGUGAAAUCCCUCGGCUUAACCGGGGAACUGCGUCUGAUACUGGAUGGCUUGAAUCCGGGAGAGGGAUGCGGAAUUCCCAGUGUAGAGGUGAAAUUCGUAGAUAUUGGGAAGAACACCGGUGGCGAAGGCGGCGACCUGGUCCAUUACUGACGCUGAGGCGCGACAGCGUGGGGAGCAAACAGG
rnacentral:rRNA from 1 species